GGCGAACGCAGGCCUCAGGGCUAAAACAUGCAUGUCGAAUGAAGUCCUUAGACUUAGUGGCGGACGGGCGAGUAACCCGUGGGAACGUGCCUUUAGGUUCGGAAUAAGGCCGGGAAGCUGUGUCUAAUACUGGAUGUGCCCUUCGGGGGAAAGCUUUAUCGCUUUUAGAGCUGCGCGCGUGUGAAUAGCUAGUUGGUGGUGUAAUGGACCACCAAGGCGACGAUCAGUGGCUGGUCUGAGAGGAUGAGCAGGCACAUUGGGACUGAGACACGGCGCAAACUCCUACGGGAGGCAGCAGUGGGGAAUCUUGCGCAAUGGGGGAAAGCCUGACGCAGCGAUGCCGCGUGGAUGCUGAAGGUCUUAGGAUUGUAAAAUCCUUUCACCGGUGAAGAUAAUGACUGUAGCCGGAGAAGAAGCCCCGGCUAACUUCGUGCCAGCAGCCGCAGUAAUAC
rnacentral:rRNA from 1 species